rnacentral:tRNA from 1 species
AUUUAAAUAGUUUAAAAAAAAUAUUGAUUUGUGGAGUCAAUGAUAUAAAUUUAAUUUAUUUUAAAUU